AUUGAACGCUGGCGGCAGGCCUAACACAUGCAAGUCGAGCGGAUGAAGGGAGCUUGCUCCUGGAUUCAGCGGCGGACGGGUGAGUAAUGCCUAGGAAUCUGCCUGGUAGUGGGGGAUAACGUCCGGAAACGGGCGCUAAUACCGCAUACGUCCUGAGGGAGAAAGUGGGGGAUCUUCGGACCUCACGCUAUCAGAUGAGCCUAGGUCGGAUUAGCUAGUUGGUGGGGUAAAGGCCUACCAAGGCGACGAUCCGUAACUGGUCUGAGAGGAUGAUCUGUCACACUGGAACUGAGACACGGUCCAGACUCCUACGGGAGGCAGCAGUGGGGAAUAUUGGACAAAGGGCGAAAGCCUGAUCCAGACGUGCCGCGUGUGUGAAGAAGGUCUUCGGAUUGUAAAGCACUUUAAGUUGGGAGGAAGGGCAGUAAGUUAAUACCUUGCUGUUUUGACGUUACCAACAGAAUAAGCACCGGCUAACUUCGUG
rnacentral:rRNA from 1 species